GACUACACGAAGCUGGAAUCGCUAGUAAUCGCGAAUCAGAAUGUCGCGGUGAAUACGUUCCCGGGUCUUGUACACACCGCCCGUCACACCAUGGGAGUCGGGAAUGCCCGAAGUCAGUGACCCAACCUUUGGAGGGAGCUGCCGAAGGCAGGUCUGAUAACUGGGGUGAAGUCGUAACAAGGUAAC
rnacentral:rRNA from 1 species